rnacentral:lncRNA from 1 species
AAAUUCACAUGUAAAUAAAAAUGUAAUUUCUCAGUAAAUAUCAACAGACAUAUCCCACAUAAACAAAAGCUCUUGGGGGUCCUCAAUACUUUUUGAGAGUGUUAAGGGGUCCUGAAAACAAAAAGCUUGAAGACUGCUGCUCUCUACCACGUUAGCUCCCCUGUGGCGGAGGAUGACUGUCCUAAGAGCUCAUAGGCACGGGGCAAGGGGA